rnacentral:rRNA from 1 species
CCGGCACGGGUGAGUAACACGUAUCCAACCUGCCGUCUACUCUUGGCCAGCCUUCUGAAAGGAAGAUUAAUCCAGGAUGGCAUCAUGAGUUCACAUGUCCGCAUGAUUAAAGGUAUUUUCCGGUAGACGAUGGGGAUGCGUUCCAUUAGAUAGUAGGCGGGGUAACGGCCCACCUAGUCAACGAUGGAUAGGGGUUCUGAGAGGAAGGUCCCCCACAUUGGGACUGAGACACGGUCCAA